rnacentral:tRNA from 1 species
GUCAGGAUGACGAGUGGUCUAAGGUGCCAGACUCAACUUUUGGCCUGGUGAGAGGGCGUGGGUUCAAAUCCCACUUCUGACU